UACGUAGGGAGCAAGCGUUAUCCGAAUUUAUUGGGUGUAAAGGGUGUGUAGGCGGUUUAAUAAGUCUAAGGUCUAAUUUCGAAGCUUAACUUCGAACUGCCUUAGAAACUGUCUGACUAGAGUAUGGUAGAGGCAAGUGGAAUUUCUAGUGUAGCGGUAAAAUGCAUAGAUAUUAGAAGGAACACCAGUGGCGAAGGCGACUUGCUGGGCCAUCGCUGACGCUGAGACACGAAAGCGUGGGGAGCAAAUA
rnacentral:rRNA from 1 species